rnacentral:rRNA from 1 species
CAGUAGCCGCGGGAAUACGUAGGGUGCAAGCGUUGAUCGGAAUUACUGGGCGUAAAGCGUGCGCAGGCGGUUAUAUAAGACAGAUGUGAAAUCCCCGGGCUCAACCUGGGAACUGCAUUUGUGACUGUAUAGCUAGAGUACGGCAGAGGGGGAUGGAAUUCCGCGUGUAGCAGUGAAAUGCGUAGAUAUGCGGAGGAACACCGAUGGCGAAGGCAAUCCCCUGGGCCUGUACUGACGCUCAUGCACGAAAGCGUGGGGAGCAAACAGGAUUAGAUACCCCUGUAGUCCCUGUCUCUUAUAC